rnacentral:rRNA from 3 species
UUGGAUAACUGUGGUAAUUCUAGAGCUAAUACAUGCACUAAAGCUCCGACCCUUUCUGAGGGGAAGAGCGCGUUUAUCAGUUCGAAGCCAGCCGAGCCGCAAGGCUCGUCUCUUUGGUGACUCUGGAUAACUCUAGCGGAUCGCACGGCCUCGAGCCGGCGACGCAUCUAUCAAGUGUCUGCCCUAUCAGACUGUCGAUGGUAAGUGCUAUGCUUACCAUGGUGAUAACGGGUAACGGGGAAUCAGGGUUCGAUUCCGGAAUCGAACCCUGAU